rnacentral:lncRNA from 1 species
UUAUAAAAAGAUAAACUUAUUAGAAACUUGAUAUAUAAUAUGAAAAUGAUCAUUCGACUAAUAUAUUCCGGCUCCACCACAUAUCUGUUAUGUAUGUGCGUAUAUAUAUGUCUGUACACAUGUGAGAAAUGAAAAUGAGAGUUAAUCUCAAUAGGUUAAUGUAAGAGGAGGAUUAGGUUAGAAUAUUAUUCUUUCAAAAUUGUUGGCUUGGAUGCUUUAAAAAAAGUUUUGCCUUAGAAAUUCCUUUCACUCGACUUAAUGAUAUAUUAGUGCUUAAGAUAAUACUAGUGGGCACAUUAAAGAAUAAUCAGAAAACAGAAAUUAAUAAACUAAGAAAGAAAAGAGGAAGAAUGUGGAAAUGAGGAACGCAAGAGAAGUGAUUGGAAACCAACGGAAUAUCCGUGUGUCCUUAGACAUGGUGGAAGCUGACGCUGAGAACCAAACCCGCCCGUUACGUAUACUCAUUCUGUUAUUUCAUUUCGUAGCGAAUAGAUAUUCCCAAUAGCUCACUAUAUAGUUACUAUAUAUUUUUAUAAAUGUUGUUAAGAAUUCUACAUUGAUAUAUAGAAUAAUAUAUCAAUGAUGUAUGCCAAUCUACGAGUAUCAGACAUAUUGUUGAAUUGAAAAUCCAUAAAACUAACAUAAAUUUAAUUUAUAAAGUUCUAUAUAUGGGACGUCAACUUUUUUUUUUGUUUUUAGUAACAUAAAU